GGUCAAGUGAAGAAGCGCAUACGGUGGAUGCCUUGGCAGUCAGAGGCGAUGAAAGACGUGGUAGCCUGCGAAAAGCUUCGGGGAGUCGGCAAACAGACUUUGAUCCGGAGAUCUCUGAAUGGGGGAACCCACCUAGGAUAACCUAGGUAUCUUGUACUGAAUCCAUAGGUGCAAGAGGCGAACCAGGGGAACUGAAACAUCUAAGUACCCUGAGGAAAAGAAAUCAACCGAGAUUCCCUUAGUAGUGGCGAGCGAACGGGGGAUUAGCCCUUAAGCUUCAUUGAUUUUAGCGGAACGCUCUGGAAAGUGCGGCCAUAGUGGGUGAUAGCCCCGUACGCGAAAGGAUCUUUGAAGUGAAAUCGAGUAGGACGGAGCACGAGAAACUUUGUCUGAACAUGGGGGGACCAUCCUCCAAGGCUAAAUACUACUGACUGACCGAUAGUGAACCAGUACCGUGAGGGAAAGGCGAAAAGAACCCCGGAGAGGGGAGUGAAAUAGAACCUGAAACCGUAUGCGUACAAGCAGUGGGAGCCUACUUGUUAGGUGACUGCGUACCUUUUGUAUAAUGGGUCAGCGACUUAUAUUCAGUGGCAAGCUUAACCGUAUAGGGUAGGCGUAGCGAAAGCGAGUCUUAAUAGGGCGUUUAGUCGCUGGGUAUAGACCCGAAACCGGGCGAUCUAUCCAUGAGCAGGUUGAAGGUUAGGUAACACUGACUGGAGGACCGAACCCACUCCCGUUGAAAAGGUAGGGGAUGACUUGUGGAUCGGAGUGAAAGGCUAAUCAAGCUCGGAGAUAGCUGGUUCUCCUCGAAAGCUAUUUAGGUAGCGCCUCAUGUAUCACUCUGGGGGGUAGAGCACUGUUUCGGCUAGGGGGUCAUCCCGACUUACCAAACCGAUGCAAACUCCGAAUACCCAGAAGUGCCGAGCAUGGGAGACACACGGCGGGUGCUAACGUCCGUCGUGAAAAGGGAAACAACCCAGACCGCCAGCUAAGGUCCCAAAGUUGUGGUUAAGUGGUAAACGAUGUGGGAAGGCUUAGACAGCUAGGAGGUUGGCUUAGAAGCAGCCACCCUUUAAAGAAAGCGUAAUAGCUCACUAGUCGAGUCGGCCUGCGCGGAAGAUGUAACGGGGCUCAAACCACACACCGAAGCUGCGGGUGUCACGUAAGUGACGCGGUAGAGGAGCGUUCUGUAAGCCUGUGAAGGUGAGUUGAGAAGCUUGCUGGAGGUAUCAGAAGUGCGAAUGCUGACAUGAGUAACGACAAUGGGUGUGAAAAACACCCACGCCGAAAGACCAAGGGUUCCUGCGCAACGUUAAUCGACGCAGGGUUAGUCGGUUCCUAAGGCGAGGCUGAAAAGCGUAGUCGAUGGGAAACAGGUUAAUAUUCCUGUACUUCUGGUUACUGCGAUGGAGGGACGGAGAAGGCUAGGCCAGCUUGGCGUUGGUUGUCCAAGUUUAAGGUGGUAGGCUGAAAUCUUAGGUAAAUCCGGGGUUUCAAGGCCGAGAGCUGAUGACGAGUCGUCUUUUAGAUGACGAAGUGGUUGAUGCCAUGCUUCCAAGAAAAGCUUCUAAGCUUCAGGUAACCAGGAACCGUACCCCAAACCGACACAGGUGGUCGGGUAGAGAAUACCAAGGCGCUUGAGAGAACUCGGGUGAAGGAACUAGGCAAAAUGGCACCGUAACUUCGGGAGAAGGUGCGCCGGCUAGGGUGAAGGAUUUACUCCGUAAGCUCUGGCUGGUCGAAGAUACCAGGCCGCUGCGACUGUUUAUUAAAAACACAGCACUCUGCAAACACGAAAGUGGACGUAUAGGGUGUGACGCCUGCCCGGUGCCGGAAGGUUAAUUGAUGGGGUUAGCGCAAGCGAAGCUCUUGAUCGAAGCCCCGGUAAACGGCGGCCGUAACUAUAACGGUCCUAAGGUAGCGAAAUUCCUUGUCGGGUAAGUUCCGACCUGCACGAAUGGCGUAACGAUGGCGGCGCUGUCUCCACCCGAGACUCAGUGAAAUUGAAAUCGCUGUGAAGAUGCAGUGUAUCCGCGGCUAGACGGAAAGACCCCGUGAACCUUUACUGUAGCUUUGCACUGGACUUUGAGCCUGCUUGUGUAGGAUAGGUGGGAGGCUUUGAAGCGUGGACGCCAGUUCGCGUGGAGCCAUCCUUGAAAUACCACCCUGGCAUGCUUGAGGUUCUAACUCUGGUCCGUAAUCCGGAUCGAGGACAGUGUAUGGUGGGCAGUUUGACUGGGGCGGUCUCCUCCUAAAGAGUAACGGAGGAGUACGAAGGUGCGCUCAGACCGGUCGGAAAUCGGUCGUAGAGUAUAAAGGCAAAAGCGCGCUUGACUGCGAGACAGACACGUCGAGCAGGUACGAAAGUAGGUCUUAGUGAUCCGGUGGUUCUGUAUGGAAGGGCCAUCGCUCAACGGAUAAAAGGUACUCCGGGGAUAACAGGCUGAUACCGCCCAAGAGUUCAUAUCGACGGCGGUGUUUGGCACCUCGAUGUCGGCUCAUCACAUCCUGGGGCUGAAGCCGGUCCCAAGGGUAUGGCUGUUCGCCAUUUAAAGUGGUACGCGAGCUGGGUUUAGAACGUCGUGAGACAGUUCGGUCCCUAUCUGCCGUGGACGUUUGAGAUUUGAGAGGGGCUGCUCCUAGUACGAGAGGACCGGAGUGGACGAACCUCUGGUGUUCCGGUUGUCACGCCAGUGGCAUUGCCGGGUAGCUAUGUUCGGAAAAGAUAACCGCUGAAAGCAUCUAAGCGGGAAACUUGCCUCAAGAUGAGAUCUCACUGGGAACUUGAUUCCCCUGAAGGGCCGUCGAAGACUACGACGUUGAUAGGCUGGGUGUGUAAGCGUUGUGAGGCGUUGAGCUAACCAGUACUAAUUGCCCGUGAGGCUUGACCAU
rnacentral:rRNA from 1 species